AAAAGGCAUGAUUAUAUUGCUUCAGUUCAUCACUUCUUGCUUCAUCAGUUUUCACUACAGUAACCCUAACAUUUGAAACCAACCCCAAACGGCGUCCACAAACCCUCCACGAUCGCGGCUCUCCUCCACGAUGACCGCAGCUCUCGAUCGCAGUGCUGUCCACCCCCAAACGGCGACGGCGCGGUGCUCCCUUCCACGGCGUUGGCACGUUGCUCCCCUCCAAGGGCGUCGGCGCGUUGCUCUCCUCCACGGGCGUCGGCGCGGUGCUCUCCUCCACGGGCGCUGCUCCACGGCUCCUCCUCCUCCUGUCUUGGCUCCACGUACGCGGUCAUCUUCGAGAAACCCCUCUCCUCCUCCUUCUUCCUCUUCUUCCCCUGUCUCGCCUCCUCCUCUUCGCAAACUUUGACAACACUACACGCAGCUGGAACCCCCCUCCUCCUCCUCUACGUAUUGGUGGAAGGAAAGGAGAAGGGGAAGGAGUUAUCGGCUUUGAUGCUCGAAUAUGCUCCAUGAUUGUGCAACAAUUCUGGGUUUGCAUUGCUGAUUGUCAGGGGAUGAAGAAAAAAGAUGUUACUCACCGGUGAUUUGGUGAUAUCUGUAUAUUUAGCAUUUUUAUCCUUCCCAAUCUAUGCUGCUAUUUCUCGAGGAUUUUGAACUAUUGAGUUUAUAACGUUGUCAAACAAGGUUUAUAAUUCGGAGGGACAAGGUUUAAUUGUUAUAGUUAGGAGUACUAAACCUACUUAGGAUACUACUGAAAGAAAGUUUUGGCGAUCUAAUUUUGCUAAUUAAUUCUUUUUUAUUUAGUCCUCUUCUUGAUGGAACUUUUCACUUGCAUUUUAUUCUGUUUUUGGAUUUGAAGAGUCAAAGAAAGGCUUUGUACCAAUGUCUCCUUAGGAUAUUAUUUUAUUUUUAUUUAUUUGUGAUCGCUUUGUUCUGUUUAAUGAUGGUUCAGGUCUUCAUCCUCGGGACAUUCGAAGUGUGGAUCCGUCUUUAUUUUUGACGAAUUUGGUACCCUCUUUGCUGGUUCAUGAGUAUGCGAUACUUCUAAAUCUGGGCUCCCUUCAAGCAAUAGCAAUGAAAGAUUGUGUACUUAUAUUUGAAUAUAAUCGUAAAGGAGGGUAAGCUUUUCUGGAGUCAUUGUUGCCCAGGUUGAACCCCAAGAACAGUAACGGAGGGCUAUCAAUGCCAUUUGAACUCGAGAUUUGGCUACAACUUGCUUAUAGUUGGAUGAGGUUUUUUGAAGAGAUAAAGGCGAUUCUUGGCACAAUAGUGAAGCACAAAGACCUUUUGGUUUCAAAUGAAAAAAUUGGUUUUUUUUUGUUCAAGUUCAUCAUGAGAAAAACAUGUAUUUUAUUUGCUUAUGUUUAAUUUUUAUUUGACUUGGUAACUUAGCAAGUAUAUGUUAAUUGAUACUUGGAACACCUUUCUAUAUAUAUACAUGCAAUAUAUAUUAUUAGCCUA